GUUGAUAAGACGCAGCUCCAACGGAGCAGCUGCGCAACUUGGCAUCGCGGCAACUUGGCAACUUGGCAGCUUGGACAGCUUGGACAGCAUGGACAGCUUCGACAACUGGCAACUGCAACUACAACUGCAGCCAGUUGCGUCUGAUGUCUGAUAACAAGCCGAAUGCCAAAUCUUUUUCUGCAUCUGCAGCUGGCGAGUUCAAUGACACUUCACCUACUUAUAUUUCAAUUCGAAAAGUCAACCCGACACUUUUAGCUGGGGCAGCAGGAAACGAAGAAAUGCAGAGACAAUGAGGCAUUGGACAAUCGAAGAUCCCCGCUAGCUGCUGCUGCCUAAAAGCAAAUUUAUAACCAAACUUUCUAAAGUGUGAAAAGAAAUAAGAAACAUUAAAAUUAAACAAGAACUGCUGCUGCUGCUGCUGCGCGCAGAAUCUGCAGCCGCAACGCUAUGGCAACGGCAGAAAGAAAU